rnacentral:rRNA from 1 species
GACGAACGCUGGCGGCGUGCUUAACACAUGCAAUUCGAACGGAAAGACCCUGCUUUUGUGGGGUGCUCGAGUGGCGAACGGGUGAGUAACACGUGAGUAACCUGCCCUUGACUUUGGGAUAACUUCAGGAAACUGGGGCUAAUACCGGAUAGGAGCUCCUGCUGCAUGGUGGGGGUUGGAAAGUUUCGGCGGUUGGGGAUGGACUCGCGGCUUAUCAGCUUGUUGGUGGGGUAGUGGCUUACCAAGGCUUUGACGGGUAGCCGGCCUGAGAGGGGGACCGGCCACAUUGGGACUGAGAUACGGCCCAGACUCCUACGGGAGGCAGCAGUGGGGAAUAUUGCACAAUGGGCGGAAGCCUGAUGCAGCAACGCCGCGUGCGGGAUGACGGCCUUCGGGGUGUAAACCGCUUUCGCCUGUGACGAAGCGUGAGUGACGGUAAUGGGUAAAGAAGCACCGGCUAACUACGUG